GAUGAACGCUGGCGGCGUGCCUAACACAUGCAAGUCGAGCGGAAGGACGCGGCGUUUGCUUCGCUGCUGUUAGGGGCGGGCGGGUGAGUCACACGAGGAUACCCUCCCUAUAUGGCUGAGAUCCUUACGGGAAAGCGGAUAUAACACCGGAUGAGAUUUUGAACCGCAUGGUUCAUAGGAGAAAGACGGCGUUGCUGUAACUACUUGCGGGUUCCAGGCUGGUUUGGUUAGUUGGUAGGGUAACGGCGUACCAAGGCUAGGCUGCGUGGCCGACCUGAGAGGGUGAUCGGCCACACUGGAACUGGGACACGGUCCAGACGCCUACGGGAGGCAGCAGUGGGGAAUCGUAGGCAAUGGGCGAAAGCCUGACGCAGCAAGGCCGCGUGUGUGAUGAAGGUCUUCGGAUCGGAAAGCUCUUUUAUUAGGGAAGAACAGAUGUAUGAUGAAACGUGGCCUUCUUGACGGUACCGAAUCAGAAAGCACCGGCUAACUACGUG
rnacentral:rRNA from 1 species